AGUAGCUUGCUACUCCGCUGACGAGCGGCGGACGGGUGAGUAAUGUCUGGGAAACUGCCUGAUGGAGGGGGAUAACUACUGGAAACGGUAGCUAAUACCGCAUAACGUCGCAAGACCAAAGAGGGGGACCUUCGGGCCUCUUGCCAUCAGAUGUGCCCAGAUGGGAUUAGCUAGUAGGUGGGGUAAUGGCUCACCUAGGCGACGAUCCCUAGCUGGUCUGAGAGGAUGACCAGCCACACUGGAACUGAGACACGGUCCAGACUCCUACGGGAGGCAGCAGUGGGGAAUAUUGCACAAUGGGCGCAAGCCUGAUGCAGCCAUGCCGCGUGUAUGAAGAAGGCCUUCGGGUUGUAAAGUACUUUCAGCGAGGAGGAAGGCAUAAAGCUUAAUACGCUUUGUGAUUGACGUUACUCGCAGAAGAAGCACCGGCUAACUCCGUGCCAGCAGCCGCGGUAAUACGGAGGGUGCAAGCGUUAAUCGGAAUUACUGGGCGUAAAGCGCACGCAGGCGGUUUGUUAAGUCAGAUGUGAAAUCCCCGGGCUCAACCUGGGAACUGCAUUUGAAACUGGCAAGCUUGAGUCUUGUAGAGGGGG
rnacentral:rRNA from 1 species